AAGAGAGGAUUCUCUGGACCACCAACACGAGAUGGAUCUUCGGUUGUUUUCUCAUUGCUGAACGUUCUCCACUCAGAGCCAACGUCGAUUACGCUGCAAAACGAUUCCUUGCGUAAAUAUAUCUCCACUGACCAUUAAAAUCUUCAGUUGCAGUCGUCGUUGCAUUCUUCUGGAGAAAACUCAGAAAAAUUCAUAAAGCACGCUCGCCUACCUUAAGGGUGCUUCAUCUUGCAGAAAAAACACUCACAUUCUUCCUAAAAAUUGUUGAAUGGUAUAUGGAAAAUGUCACUUUUAAUGCAUGAAAAAUAAAGUCUCAACUUUUUAUUCA